AGGGUCAUAGGUUAAAAAUAAAACCCUUGGCCUUCAAAGCCGAAAAUGCGAAGGCUGACCUUA
rnacentral:tRNA from 1 species